UCCCCGAGCUGCCUUAGGGGCUUACCCCAGAGAGGCUGCACGGGAGCCUCCGCUCUGGCCCGACCCCAGCCGUCUGUCCGCCGUGCAGCCCACUUGGCAGGUGGCUGAGGACACGGCCCAGGCGGCUGUGCAGAGUUAAUUAACAAAAUCCAGACCUUGAUUAUGUCAUAAGUGAAAACAUGAUGAUCCUCCUGAGUGUUCACUGGACAUUAAUCCCUGUUAUAAAACCAGCAUAACAGAUGAAUUCGGCUCCUAAACAGAAGUGCUCUCCUUGCUGCUGGUGCUUCCCUCUGACACUUUAAGACACCCUCAACUGAAGCUUUGCCCUCUCCUGUUACUCUGCCUCCAGAGCUACCACUGGCCAUUCUUCCAAUGGACUGCUACUGCCAUCUUCUGGAGCUGUUAUCCACUGAUGAAGCUUCCACCAGGAGACUGAUCCAAGUCAACAUGUCAUUGCUGAUGAGCACAUUUUCAGUUCUUUUGUUAGGAAAACUUGAGAUAGACAAGGGAGAAGCAUCAAAGCCUUUUCUUUUUCUUGAU